rnacentral:rRNA from 1 species
AUUGAACGCUGGCGGCAGGCUUAACACAUGCAAGUCGAGCGGAGACUUCGGUCUUAGCGGCGAACGGGUGAGGAAUGCCUGGGAAUCUGCCUGUUAGUGGGGGAUAACGUUCCGAAAGGAACGCUAAUACCGCAUACGUCCUACGGGAGAAAGCAGGGGACCUUCGGGCCUUGCGCUAACAGAUGAGCCCAGGUCGGAUUAGCUAGUUGGUGGGGUAAAGGCUCACCAAGGCGACGAUCCGUAGCUGGUCUGAGAGGAUGAUCAGCCACACUGGAACUGAGACACGGUCCAGACUCCUACGGGAGGCAGCAGUGGGGAAUAUUGGACAAUGGGGGAAACCCUGAUCCAGCCAUGCCGCGUGUGUGAAGAAGGCC